rnacentral:tRNA from 1 species
GCUGCGGUGGUGUAGUGGUUAUCGCGGAACCUUGGUUCCGUAAUCACAAAGCAUAGGAGCCUGUGUAGCUUCUGGCCCGGGUUCAAAUCCCGGCCGCGGCCCCA